ensembl:snoRNA small nucleolar RNA SNORA3/SNORA45 family
AUCGAGUCUAGAGUCACAUCUUAACAUUUUGAAAUUGUUCUGGUGUGCUAGAGAUCUCGUAGAUUAAACUCUUGGCUUAUUCAUUGGUUGUAGCAACGCUUGCCCAACCAGUCGCCAGCUUUGAAACAAUU